rnacentral:rRNA from 1 species
AUGUCAAGCCCGUUCGGCGCUGGCGGGCACGACUGGUUCAUCAAGUGCUACCCGAACGGCGUUCCGGGAGGGGCGGGGAACCAUAUGUCCCUCUUCCUCAUGCACGACAGCCACGCCAAGACCGGCGAUGCCACGGCGGCUUACAAGAUGAGCAUACUCGACAAGGCCUUGAAACCAUCGUGCACUAAAUUCGAACAUGAGCGCCACUUCAGGGGUGAUGGAUGGGGCUGGACAGAGUUCAUGGGGCUCCAAGAUCUGGACAGGGACAAGUACCUUGUGGAAGACUGUCUGUCCAUCCUCUGCGACGUCAUCACCGCCGACGGGCUGCGUGCUGCGGCGGAGCAGCCGCCUCCGCCUCCGCCGUUCGACUUGCGCGGCUUGCAACUCGUGGAAGCCAUCUGGAACAGGGAGACGGCGGACGUGACGAUCCACCUCGGGGACGGAGAGACGAUCGCGGCGCACCGGUGGGUGCUCGAGGCCCGGUCACCCGUCCUCAAGGCGGAUCUCGCCCUCGCCUCGAACAACGCCACCGCUGACCAUCUACGCCUGCUCGUGAACGACAUGGACGCCGACGUGUACAAGUCGCUGCUCCGGUUCAUCUACACCGACUCACAGCCCCCCGAGCUCGAGACGGCGUCGCCAAAGAAUGUGGAGCGGCCGCUCUACGCAGCGGACAGGUUUCAGCUGGAAAAGCUGAAGCUCCUCUGCGUGGAGGGACUGUGCAAGAAAAUCGACGCCAGCUCCGUGGCGGCCGCCCUGGCACUGGCCGAGCGGCACGGCUGCCCGACGCUGAGGGAGGCGUGCUGGCAGUUCCUCGUGAAGAACACGCCGACACAUGAGCAACCAAUCAGUACCAAUGUAUUUUGA